rnacentral:rRNA from 1 species
UACGUAGGGGGCAAGCGUUGUCCGGAAUCAUUGGGCGUAAAGAGCGUGUAGGCGGCCCGGUAAGUCCGCUGUGAAAGUCCAGGGCUCAACCCUGGGAUGCCGGUGGAUACUGUCGGGCUCGAGUCCGGAAGAGGAGUGUGGAAUUCCUGGUGUAGCGGUGAAAUGCGCAGAUAUCAGGAGGAACACCAAUGGCGAAGGCAGCACUCUGGGACGUGACUGACGCUGAGACGCGAAAGCGUGGGGAGCAAACAGGAUUAAGAAAC